UACGUAGGGUGCAAGCGUUGUCCGGAAUUAUUGGGCGUAAAGAGCUUGUAGGCGGUCUGUCGCGUCUGCUGUGAAAAUCCGGGGCUCAACCCCGGACUUGCAGUGGGUACGGGCAGACUAGGAGUGUGGUAGGGGAGACUGGAAUUCCUGGUGUAGCGGUGAAAAUGCGCAGAUAUCAGGAGGAACACCGAUGGCGAAGGCAGGGUCUCUGGGC
rnacentral:rRNA from 1 species